rnacentral:rRNA from 1 species
CCCGCACAAGCGGUGGAGCAGUGUGGUUUAAUUCGACGCAACGCGAAGAACCUUUACCAGGGCUUGACAUCCCCUGACCGCGUAUGAAAGUACGUUUUCACCCUCGGGUGACAGGGAGACAGGUGGUGCAUGGUUGUCGUCAGCUCGUGUCGUGAGAUGUUGGGUUAAGUCCCGCAACGAACGCAACCCCCACGUUUAGUUGCUAACGCGUGAAGGCGAGCACUCUAGACGAACUGCCGUUGACAAAACGGAGGAAGUGGGAUGACGUCAAAUCAUCAUGCCCCUUAUGUUCUGGGCUACACACGUGCUACAAUGGCCGGUACAGACGGACGCAAAGCCGCGAGGUGGAGCAAAUCCUAAAAAGCCGGUCUCAGUUCGGAUUGCAGGCUGCAAUUCGCCUGCAUGAAGUCGGAAUCGCUAGUAAUCGCAGGUCAGCAUACUGCGGUGAAUACGUUCCCGGGCCUU